rnacentral:rRNA from 1 species
CUUCUUGCUCGAGAGGGAAACAGCCCAGACCAUCAACUAAGGUCCCAAAUAUAGACUAAGUGGUAAAGGAAGUGAGAUCACGUAGACAGCCAGGAUGUUGGCUUAGAGGCAGCCAUCAUUUAAAGAGUGCGUAACAGCUCACUGGUCGAGUGAUUUCGCGCCGAAAAUGAUCGGGGCUCAAGUUUAUAACCGAAGUUAUGGCUUUGAGUAUCUUCGGAUACUCAAGGGGUAGGGGAGCGUAGUGCUAUGCGUUGAAGGCAUACUGAAAAGAAUGCUGGAGUUGGCACUAGUGAUACUGUUGGUAGUGAGUAGCGAAAACUAUAGCGAGAAACUAUAGCAUCGAAAAUCUAAGGUUUCCUGGGGAAGGUAAAUCCGCCCAGGGUUAGUCGAUCCUAAGCAGAGGCCGAAAGGCGUACGCGAUGGAUAUCAGGUUAAUAUUCCUGAACUGAUUACGAACGUUAUACUCCAAUGUGACGGGGUAGGUUACGCAAGCAGAGUGUUGGAUGUCUCUGUCUAAGGCCGUAGGCGUAUCGCAAGAUAUGCUGAGAACUGAUGGGGAGCCCAAUCGCAAGUGCGGGCGAAGUUGCAGAUACCAUGCUUCCAAGAAAAACCACUAGAGUGAGAGUUGUGAUUAAUCGUACCGGAAUCCGACACAGGUAGAUAGGCUGAAUAUGCCAAGAUGCUCGAGAGAAUCCUCCUUAAGGAACUAGGCAAAAUCACCCCGUAACUUCGGGAGAAGGGGUGCCUGAUUCGUGUAGAGCUCCGCGCUUGAAGCGAUGAUGGCCACAGUAAAGAGGCUCGGGUGACUGUUUAGUAAAAACACAUCACUCUGCAAAGUCGUAAGACGACGUAUAGGGUGUGACACCUGCCCGGUGCUGGAAGGUUAAGGGGAGAGGUCAGCGUAAGCGAAGCUUCGAACUGAAGCCCCAGUAAACGGCGGCCGUAACUAUAACGGUCCUAAGGUAGCGAAAUUCCUUGUGGGGUAAGUUCCCACGCGCACGAAUGGUGUAACAACUUGAGCGCUGUCUCGAGGAGGAACUCGGCGAAAUUGUAGCGGCGGUGAAGAUGCCGUCUACCCGCACCAAGACGAAAAGACCCCAGAACCUUUACUGCAUUCUGGUAUUGGAUUUGGUUAUUGAUUGUGUAGGAUAGCUAGGAGGCUGUGAAGUUCCGGCGUUAGCCGGGAUGGAGCCAACGGUGAAAUACUAGCCUGUUGAUGACUAGAUUCUAACCUUGUCCUGUGAAACCAGGCAGGAAACAGUGCCAGAUGGGCAGUUUGACUGGG